rnacentral:misc_RNA from 1 species
ACAGAUGAAGGCGACUAUCAAGUGAAAUUACGCAGCCUGAUUCGUUUCUUGGAAGAGGGCGACAAAGCAAAAAUUACUGUGCGUUUCCGUGGACGUGAGAUGGCACACCAAGAUAUCGGGUUAGAAGUGUUAGAGCGCGUGAAAAACGAUUUAGCUGAGAUCUCCGUCGUUGAGUCCGCCCCUGGCAGACUUGAAGGCAGACAGGCCGUUAUGGUACUUGCCCCGAAAAAGAAAUAGUUUUCUAAAAAUGCAAUCAAAAUAACAUUGAUUGCAUUUUUGCUUUUUACCACUUCUCUUUAUAUUUAAAGCAUAAUGAGAUUCGCUGUUGUCACUUUGAAGUGCGU